rnacentral:rRNA from 1 species
AUUGAACGCUGGCGGCAUGCUUUACACAUGCAAGUCGAACGGUAACAGGGAGCUUGCUCCGCUGACGAGUGGCGAACGGGUGAGUAAUGCAUCGGAACGUACCCAGUCGUGGGGGAUAACGUAGCGAAAGUUACGCUAAUACCGCAUACGUCCUGAGGGGAGAAAGCGAGGGACCGUAAGGCCUCGCGCGAUUGGAGCGGCCGAUGUCGGAUUAGCUAGUUGGUGGGGUAAAGGCCUACCAAGGCGACGAUCCGUAGCGGGUCUGAGAGGAUGAUCCGCCACACUGGGACUGAGACACGGCCCAGACUCCUACGGGAGGCAGCAGUGGGGAAUUUUGGACAAUGGGGGCAACCCUGAUCCAGCCAUGCCGCGUGAGUGAAGAAGGCCUUCGGGUUGUAAAGCUCUUUCAGACGGAAAGAAAACGCAUCGGUGAAUACCCGGUGUGGAUGACGGUACCGUAAGAAGAAGCACCGGCUAACUACGUG